GAAAAUUUAUCCCUGCUUGUAUCAGAAGACAAACGGAAACAAAACAAGAAAAAAGAAAAGAAAACAUUCCAUUCACUUUUAUUUGUAGAUCCAGAUGAAGGUACCCCAAGCAGCUUGAGAUGUGAUGAUGGAGACCAGUUUGAGAAGACCCAUCAUCUCUGAUUUCCCUCUGAUUAUGAAGUAAUACAACAAAGCUACAGAAUAGAAACCCUCGAAUUGAUCCUGUUUUCUUAUGCCAGAGCCAUGGUACCAGCAUGAACAGCUUUCAUUCAUCUGACUU
rnacentral:lncRNA from 10 species